rnacentral:siRNA from 1 species
UUGGGCCGCGAGAGAUCUAUC